rnacentral:rRNA from 1 species
UCGAGAGGCUUCGGCAAUGGGGGAAACCCUGACCGAGCGACGCCGCGUGAGGGAUGAAGGCCCUUGGGUUGUAAACCUCUUUUGUUCGGGAAGAAGUGCGAUCAGGUGAAUAAUCUGGUCGUUUGACGGUACCGGACGAAUAAGCUCCGGCUAACUCCGUGCCAGCAGCCGCGGUAACACGGGGGGAGCAAGCGUUGUUCGGAAUCACUGGGCGUAAAGGGCGUGUAGGCGGUCAGGUUAGUGAGAUGUGAAAUGCCCCGGCUUACCCGGGGACCUGCAUCUCAAACUGCCUGGCUUGAGUAUGGGAGAGGAUGAGGGAAUUCCUGGUGUAGCGGUGAAAUGCGUAGAUAUCAGGAGGAACACCGGUGGCGAAAGCGCUCAUCUGGCCCAAUACUGACGCUGAGGCGCGAAAGCUAGGGGAGCAAACG